rnacentral:rRNA from 1 species
GUAACGGGGAAUUAGGGUUCGGUUCCGGAGAGGGAGCCUGAGAAACGGCUACCACAUCCAAGGAAGGCAGCAGGCGCGCAAAUUACCCAAUCCCGACACGGGGAGGUAGUGACAAUAAAUAACAACACAGGGCUCUUUAGGGUCUUGUUAUUGGAAUGAGUACGAUUUAAAUCUCCUAACGAGGAACAAUUGGAGGGCAAGUCUGGUGCCAGCAGCCGCGGUAAUUCCAGCUCCAAUAGCGUAUAUUAAAGUUGUUGCAGUUAAAAAGCUCGUAGUUGAAUUUCAGGCCUGGCUGGACGGUCCGCCCUUCGGGUGAGUACUGUCUGUGGUCGGGUCCUACCUUCUGGCGAAGCGUCAUGGCCUUAACCGGCCGUGGCGGGGAACCAGGACUUUUACUGUGAAAAAAUUAGAGUGUUCAAUGCAGGCAAUCGCUUGGAUACAUUAGCAUGGAAUAAUGGAAUAGGACAAUGGUUCUAUUUGUUGGUUUCUAGGACCGUUGUAAUGAUUAAUAGGGAUAGUUGGGGGCAUUAGUAUUCAAUUGUCAGAGGUGAAAUUCUUGGAUUUAUUGAGGACUAACUACUGCGAAAGCAUUUGCCAAGGAUGUUUUCAUUAAUCAAGAACGAAAGUUAGGGGAUCGAAGACGAUCAGAUACC